rnacentral:rRNA from 1 species
UACGUAGGUGGCAAGCGUUGUCCGGGUUUACUGGGCGUAAAGAGCGCGCAGGCGGUCGUUCAAGUCGCGUGUGAAAGCCCCCGGCUCAACUGGGGAGGGUCACGCGAUACUGAUCGACUCGAAGGCAGGAGAGGGAAGUGGAAUUCCCGGUGUAGUGGUGAAAUGCGUAGAUAUCGGGAGGAACACCAGUGGCGAAGGCGACUUCCUGGCCUGUUCUUGACGCUGAGGCGCGAAAGCUAGGGGAGCAACGGG